rnacentral:rRNA from 1 species
UACGGGGGGGGCAAGCGUUGUUCGGAAUUAUUGGGCGUAAAGAGCGUGUAGGCGGUCCGGUAAGUCAGCUGUGAAAGUCAAGGGCUCAACCCUUGAAUGCCGGUUGAUACUGUCGGGCUAGAGUCCGGAAGAGGCGAGUGGAAUUCCCGGUGUAGCGGUGAAAUGCGCAGAUAUCGGGAGGAACACCAAUGGCGAAGGCAGCUCGCUGGGACGGUACUGACGCUGAGACGCGAAAGCGUGGGGAGCAAACAGG